GCAUAAAGAGCUUACAUAAAUAUGAUUUAGCACACAUUUAGCAAUCAUGUGUAUAUGCAAAUUAUGAAAUUAGUUUGCCGAAAACCAAACCUCAUGGUCUCUAAUAUUUCAUGAACCCGGUGCACAGAGCUUAUUGGAUUUGACAAAGUUCAAAGUUUGUCAGGGGCAAAGACCACAGCCGAAAAAGAGGAAGCACAAAGUUUCCGCUUUGCUGUCGGAAACAUCAACAUUGGAGAUGGACAAAAGUGAGUGCGGCGACCAGGAGGAAAAU